CACCUGCGAGGGCGGGGAAGGCUGGUUCCUAACCCUUGGUUAAAAACCCAGCAAAGUGUGACUUGAGUGUCGUUAUACAAAGUGGAUUUUCUCCUACGUUCUUUUAUCAGCAAAGGUUAUGAAGUCCAUAUCCUUCUCCCGGGCAAGCAGGAACCUUUCCUUUCACGCAAAGGAAUGGCCUGCUGAGAGAGAAGAAAAGCUUCCACUAGCGUUGCUGUAGUUUUUCUUCUUUUCUGGCAUAUUUAGAUAUGUGUUCAGUUGUUUAACAGUUAGUGGCUUUUAAAAUACGAUUAUGUAGACAUGGCUAUUGUUUUAGUAUUACUUCUCACUGUGCUUUUAGGCUCUGUGUGGAAGAAAGGCAGGAGAGAAAAGCAAAAUAAAAUAUCCCCAGACAGGCUUGGGUGUUUCCGUGAGGUAUUCUGUUGUCCGUUCUCUCCACAGACUGAUCUCCUAUGCCUGACCAUACAGAUGUCAGCCUGGCCCCAGAAGAACGGGUUAGGGGGCUUAUCCAAAUAGGCAGCAAUGUGGAGGUGAAUGAAGAUGUCCCCCCACGGAGGUACUUCCGUUCUGGUGUUGAAAUCAUCCGGAUGGCAGCUAUCUAUUCCGAAGAAGGCAACAUCGAACGGGCCUUUAUAUUGUACAACAAAUACAUUACGCUUUUCAUAGAAAAACUUCCAAAGCAUCGUGAUUACAAAACUGCUGUCAUUCCGGAGAAGAGAGACACAAUCAAAAAACUGAAGGAGGUUGCCUUCCCGAAAGCAGAGGAGCUGAAACAGGAGCUUUUAGAAAAAUACAACAAAGAGUAUGCGGAGUACAAUGAACGGAAGAAGAAGCAAGAGGAGGAGUUUGCCCACCACCUGGCGCUGCAGCAGCAGCUGGAGGAGGAGCGGCAACGGGUGGCCCUGAUGAAGCAGCAGCAGGCGGAGCAGGAGCAGUUCCAGGCCUUCGAAGAGAUGAUCCGGCGCCAGGAGCUGGAGAAGGAGCGCCUGAAGAUCCUGCAGCAGUUUGGGAAACAGACCCCGGACGCCUUGGAGGGCCCCUUGGUACCUGGGGCGGUCACCCCGCCCACGGACACAAGGACUCUCGUGGCUCCCGCCCAGCCUUGGGGCCCCAGCGGAGGGGGCGGGCCCCCGAGGCCUCCCGUCGUGGACCGGUCGCUGAAGCCAGCCACGCUGGGGGUCCUGGAGAACAAUGCAACUAUUGAAGGACUUCGCCAGAUCACCGUCCCCCGGGAGCUCUGCCAUAAAUUCCUCCAGCUGGCUGAGGCCAACACGGCCAGGGGCGUGGAGACGUGUGGGAUCCUUUGUGGGAAGCUGAUGCAGAACGAAUUCACCAUAACCCAUGUCAUCAUCCCCAAGCAGCACGGGGGCCCUGAUUACUGCAACACUGAGAAUGAAGAGGAGCUUUUCCUAAUCCAGGACCAGCACAGCCUCAUAACGCUGGGGUGGAUCCAUACACACCCCACCCAAACAGCAUUCCUGUCCAGCGUGGAUCUGCACACGCACUGCUCCUAUCAGAUGAUGUUGCCAGAGUCUAUAGCUAUUGUUUGCUCCCCAAAGUACCAAGAGACAGGAUUCUUUAAAUUGACAGACCAUGGCAUGGACGAAAUUUCAUCCUGUCGGCAGAAAGGGUUCCACCCGCACCCCAAAGAGCCCCCUCUUUUUACUGUGCUGCUUACUCUGCGAAGGCCUCAUGCCUCUUGCUGGGCCACUGCAGCAGUCUGUGGGAACGGAGGAGGAAAGUGGGAACUGCCCCCUGGAGCACACGCACCCCUUGCGUGAGCUUCCCAGCAAAGCUUUGCUCAGCUGAACGAAGCCGUGUGUGCAGGCGCAGAACCCACAGGUAGUGAACGCACAGAUGACCACUCGAAGAACCACAGGGACAGAGUUGCAGCCACGUGACGGUCAUGGAACAGGAAGUGGUGGUCCUGGACCUUCGAUAAAGCCAACGCCACCAUGCCUUGGUCAACCCUUAACUUGCCCUCCUUUAAGCUAACGAAUGGUCGCUAACUAUGCCCCCUCUAUGCAAUCAUCUCCAAGAUUUUGCCUCUCCUUCCACAAGAAUCAUGCAUUCUCUUUGAUGCCGUGCCAUUGUCAGAAUUUAGGGAUCUAGGUGGGGAGAAGGAGUUGGCCGGGUGGGGGGAGCGAUAGACUGAUCCCAGUGGUGGACUUGAUCCAGCUAGUUUUGGUGGCUCACUGGCCCUCCUCGGGCUUACCUCUGUCACGCCCUGCUCCGGAGGAGAGUGCAGGAUCAAAUAAAUGACACCGCUUUCUAGAAGCGGUCUGCAAGCAUCUGGUCAUGUCGCAGGACGGCAGCCCCAGGAGGCCCAGUUGGGCUUUUCUCCAAAGCUUUUUAAACAUGGGUGGAAACCUUCCCGCCGGUCCCUCGUGUGAGCUCUGAAGCUCCACUGUGCCGUGCCAACAAUUCUGCCUUUUGUGACCAGUGAGAAAGUGUCGUCUGUUUUGGGAAGAAGUGAGUCUGGGGGAAGACAGCGGGGGUGUUUUCUAUGAGGUUGUGGUUAGGUUUGGUUUUUUCCCUUUUUUGUUGGCGGAGGAUAAAAUUACAUUGGAGGCAGAUUUUUUUUCCCAGGGAGCAGAUGGUGGACCCAGGGGGGGGGGAAUCCAAAGACGAGGGAGUCCUGAAACAGGUAGGAAGAAGCUGCAGGUGGUUUGUGUUGUGAACAUUCAGUUGAAGCAAGUGCCACUAAGAAUAGUGUACUCAGUUAUCCAACUCCAUUUGAGGAAUGAAGUUCCAUGUUCCCUUUGUCCAAGGUGGGGCAACCUGCAGACGGCCAGGUGUGGCCGACGGUCCCUCCCUGCUGGUCAAACUGCCUAGAGCUGCUGAGAGUUGUUGUAUCUAAGACAACAAGAGGACAGUCUUACCUAAAGGAUGGCAAGUUGGCCAUCUCUGACUUAACACUACACGGUUGAAGCUGCGCUUAGAAGUCUAGACGUCGUGAUGGGCACAUUGGUGUUCCAUUUAAUAGCCUUACAAGUUGUUCAAUGGACACCAGGACUUCUCUCUACGUGUACAAAGGGACAUAACAGGUAUGGGCUUUUGUAGGCUCUCUUGUUUCCCGAUAAGAAAGAGAGGUGAGCUCCUUCCACUCUGUGGUCAAAGAGACUCCUGGAACCGCACCUGGGAAUGACGUUGAGCGGUUCGGAAGGUGUGUUUCUGUUUGUCAUUGUGGGGUGUGUAUGUGUGUAUGUGGUUUUUGGCAAGCUUGACAUGUUGGCUGCAAGGCCCCUGCCUCGGUCUUUGGAUAGGACACCUGAGGGUGUAACAGGAAACACUAGGUGCCGUUCCUGUCCCUGCACUUUGGUGGAGGAGGGAUAGGUCGGGUGAAUGGCGAGUGGCGGAGUCAACCCCCCCCCCCCACCCACAAUCUUCUUUGCCUUCGGCAGCUGCUGGCUGGACAGGGAGCUGGUCUCUGAGCUGAGGAAGAAACCCAUGCUUGCAGCCUGCGCAUCGUUUCAAGCCUAGGCCAUGUCAGAAUCUUGCCGGUCGGGCGAACGCUGCUUGUGGAGGGUUCGCAUCCGAGGACAAACCAAAGUCAGGUUCUAGGAGGACACCAUGUGCAAGGGAAUGCUGAUGAUGUCUUGAUGAUGCCAGCUGCCAGCUGGGAUCUUUCCCCCUGCCCAGUCUCUCCCUUUACUCAUACUGGGGCAUCUUCCUGCUGAAGGAGAAGGAAGUGGCAGGGAUUCCUCACCCUCUCCUCUCUCCCUCCCUGAUGUUUCUGCAAUGGGGCUGGUUGGGAUGUUGCCAUUUGAGAGUAUGUAUCACAUUUUAAAUUUGUUUUUGUUCAGACAUUAAAAGAAUUUGGUUCUUCUGGCCUUGGAAGUGAA